CCUUCAGACCGUGUCUAUGGUAACGGCGGAGCCUUGACAACUACGAUUGUUCAAUAAAAGCCAGAUGCUGGCUUUUCUGGGUCCUAUAGGUGAUGACAGGCCUUCAUUAACUGCUGGUUAAAGCACGCUUCUAAUCCCCAGGACCCCCUAGAAGCAUAUGUAAAGAAACAGGCACUGCGAAGAUGUGUGGCUUAUCAAAAAGACACUACAGUGAUGAAGAUCCAAACAGUACAUUGUUGUCUACAAUCAAUCAGCACCCCACUUUCCUGUUAAAUUCUGAAUAAAAAUGGGCAAUGCUGGGAAAAUCAGGCACCACAAUAUUUUUGAUAGAACUUUACAAUAACAAGUCUAAUG